UCACAAGAGGUUUAGUUGCCGCCGCCGU
rnacentral:sRNA from 1 species